GAACCGUACGAACGUUAUUCGGAAUCACUGGGCUUAAAGGGUGCGUAGGCGGCCUAGUAAGUUGGGUGUGAAAUCCCUCGGGCUCAACCGAGGGAACUGCGCUCAAAACUGCUAGGCUUGAGGAAGACAGAGGUGAGCGGAACUCAGGGUGGAGCGGUGAAAUGCGUUGAUAUCCUGGGGAACACCAGUAGCGAAAGCGGCUCACUGGGUCUUUUCUGACGCUCAGGCACGAAAGCUAGGGGAGCGAACGGGAUUAGAUACCCCGGUAGUCCUAGCUGUAAACGAUGAGCACUGGGUUGGAGGGUCCUCCAUAGCCUUCCAGCCGUAGCGAAAGUGUUAAGUGCUCCGCCUGGGGAGUAUGGUCGCAAAGGCUG
rnacentral:rRNA from 1 species